GGGGAAUCUUGCACAAUGCGCGAAAGCGUGAUGCAGCAACGCCGCGUGCGGGAAGAAGGCCUUAGGGUUGUAAACCGCUUUCAGUUGGGACGAAGCUUCGCGAGUUAAUAGCUCAUUGGAGUGACGGUACCUUCAGAAGAAGCGCCGGCUAACUACGUGCCAGCAGCCGCGGUAAUACGUAGGGCGCGAGCGUUGUCCGGAAUCAUUGGGCGUAAAGCGCGUGUAGGCGGCCGAGUAAGUCUGCUGUGAAAGUCCAGGGCUCAACCCUGGGAUGCCGCAGAUACUGCUUGGCUAGAGUACGGGAGGGGCGAGUGGAAUUCCUGGUGUAGCGGUGGAAUGCGCAGAUAUCAGGAGGAACACCUAUGGCGAAGGCAGCUCGCUGGAACGUUACUGACGCUGAGACGCGAAAGCGUGGGGAGCAAAC
rnacentral:rRNA from 1 species